AAAAUUCUUAAAUUUUUGGCAUAGCAACGCACUUCAAGCUAAAGUGAUUAUAGUCGACAAACUGUCAAAUAGAUUACUAUUU